AUUGAACGCUGGCGGAAUGCUUUACACAUGCAAGUCGAACGGUAGAGGGGGCAACCCCUCGAGAGUGGCGAACGGGUGAGUAAUAUAUCGGAACGUGCCCAGUCGUGGGGGACAACGUAGCGAAUGUUACGCUAAUACCGCAUACGAUCUAAGGAUGAAAGCGGGGGAUCGCAAGACCUCGCGCGAUUGGAGCGGCCGAUAUCAGAUUAGGUAGUUGGUGGGGUAAAGGCUCACCAAGCCAACGAUCUGUAGCUGGUCUGAGAGGACGACCAGCCACACUGGAACUGAGACACGGUCCAGACUCCUACGGGAGGCAGCAGUGGGGAAUUUUGGACAAUGGACGCAAGUCUGAUCCAGCCAUUCCGCGUGCAGGAUGAAGGCCCUCGGGUUGUAAACUGCUUUUGUACGGAACGAAAAGGUCUCUCUUAAUACGGGGGGCUCAUGACGGUACCGUAAGAAUAAGCACCGGCUAACUACGUGCCAGCAGCCGCCGCCG
rnacentral:rRNA from 1 species